UCAGCAGCUCCAAUGCCUGCCCUGAA
rnacentral:misc_RNA from 1 species